rnacentral:rRNA from 1 species
GAUGAACGCUGGCGGCGUGCCUAAUACAUGCAAGUCGAGCGAACGGACGAGAAGCUUGCUUCUCUGAUGUUAGCGGCGGACGGGUGAGUAACACGUGGAUAACCUACCUAUAAGACUGGGAUAACUUCGGGAAACCGGAGCUAAUACCGGAUAAUAUUUUGAACCGCAUGGUUCAAAAGUGAAAGACGGUCUUGCUGUCACUUAUAGAUGGAUCCGCGCUGCAUUAGCUAGUUGGUAAGGUAACGGCUUACCAAGGCAACGAUGCAUAGCCGACCUGAGAGGGUGAUCGGCCACACUGGAACUGAGACACGGUCCAGACUCCUACGGGAGGCAGCAGUAGGGAAUCUUCCGCAAUGGGCGAAAGCCUGACGGAGCAACGCCGCGUGAGUGAUGAAGGUCUUCGGAUUGUAAAACUCUGUUAUUAGGGAAGAACAUAUGUGUAAGUAACUGUGCACAUCUUGACGGUACCUAAUCAGAAAGCCACGGCUAACUACGUGCCAGCAGCCGCGGUAAUACGUAGGUGGCAAGCGUUAUCCGGAAUUAUUGGGCGUAAAGCGCGCGUAGGCGGUUUUUUAAGUCUGAUGUGAAAGCCCACGGCUCAACCGUGGAGGGUCAUUGGAAACUGGAAAACUUGAGUGCAGAAGAGGAAAGUGGAAUUCCAUGUGUAGCGGUGAAAUGCGCAGAGAUAUGGAGGAACACCAGUGGCGAAGGCGACUUUCUGGUCUGUAACUGACGCUGAUGUGCGAAAGCGUGGGGAUCAAACAGGAUUAGAUACCCUGGUAGUCCACGCCGUAAACGAUGAGUGCUAAGUGUUAGGGGGUUUCCGCCCCUUAGUGCUGCAGCUAACGCAUUAAGCACUCCGCCUGGGGAGUACGACCGCAAGGUUGAAACUCAAAGGAAUUGACGGGGACCCGCACAAGCGGUGGAGCAUGUGGUUUAAUUCGAAGCAACGCGAAGAACCUUACCAAAUCUUGACAUCCUUUGACAACUCUAGAGAUAGAGCUUUCCCCUUCGGGGGACAAAGUGACAGGUGGUGCAUGGUUGUCGUCAGCUCGUGUCGUGAGAUGUUGGGUUAAGUCCCGCAACGAGCGCAACCCUUAAGCUUAGUUGCCAUCAUUAAGUUGGGCACUCUAAGUUGACUGCCGGUGACAAACCGGAGGAAGGUGGGGAUGACGUCAAAUCAUCAUGCCCCUUAUGAUUUGGGCUACACACGUGCUACAAUGGACAAUACAAAGGGCAGCGAAACCGCGAGGUCAAGCAAAUCCCAUAAAGUUGUUCUCAGUUCGGAUUGUAGUCUGCAACUCGACUACAUGAAGCUGGAAUCGCUAGUAAUCGUAGAUCAGCAUGCUACGGUGAAUACGUUCCCGGGUCU